rnacentral:pre_miRNA from 1 species
UCUUAUUAAUGAGUGAAGAAAGUGGUUUCUUGAGAUGGAAUCCAUUUCUGGUGAAGAUGUUGUGAA